AACUAGGGAAAGAGAAAAAAGGGGAUGUAUUAGUCUCCGUUUGUUUCUUUUCUUUCUUGAUCUUCUUGGUUUUUUCUUUAUUUUUUUGCUUGGGGGGGGUGGUUUUGUGGUGUUCAGUUGACACAGCCUAUGCAAAUGAAAAUGGUAUGUUUGUUACAUGCCUUUUUGCUACUUGUACUUAUUUGGAUCUCUGCCUUGUGAUUUUGUUUGCCUCCUAAUUCUUGUUGAUGCUUUUCAUUUGCUUUGUUUUGUACGUAAUGAGCAAAAUUGAAGAAUGAAUUGAAAUUGGAUAAGAAAGGGAGAGAGGUGGGAAAUAGCAAAUUAGGGCUUUUGUAAAAUUUAUUUAAUUCCCAGAGCUUGAAGGAAUAAUCAAGCCAAUUAUUCCACAAAAUCUCUUCUUCUCUUCUAUUUCUUCAUAGUUCAACUUUCUAAGGUUGGAAGAGUUCUUUUAUAUGUUUUUCUAGUCUCAAAUUGUGGAUAACUCUGUAAUUGCAUUUGUAUAGCAUCAGUAACCAGUAAUCCUCUGAUGUAUUAAUAGCAGAUAGUGUUGUUCAAUGGCAUCUAAUCAUCCAUACUGUUGAUCAUGAAUCCUAGUAUAAAGUGCAAUUGCUUCUUUUGUUUCCAGUUUGCAUUUUCCCGCCCAUCUCAUACACAACCUAAAAUUUUUAUAGGUCCUUUUAUCACCAAUUGGUUAUUAGGCCUUUUUAUGUUCUUAAUUUGUACAAGAUUGUUACCUAAUGUGGCUUAAAAUUCUUUGGAAGAAGCACGUCAUAAAUUGGUUCCAACACAUUACAGGUUCUGUGCUUUGUGUUGGA
rnacentral:misc_RNA from 1 species